rnacentral:rRNA from 1 species
CUUCGGAGGCACCUGCACAGGUGCUGCAUGGCUGUCGUCAGCUCGUGUCGUGAGAUGUUGGGUUAAGUCCCGCAACGAGCGCAACCCUUAUCCCUAGUUGCCAUCAGGUAAAGCUGGGAACUCUGGGGAGACUGCCGGUGAUAAACCGGAGGAAAGGCGGGGAUGACGUCAAGUCCUCAUGGCCCUUACAUCCCGGGCUACACACGUGCUACAAUGGCAGGUACAGAGGGCUGCGAAGCCGCGAGGUGGAGCGAAUCCCAGAAAACCUGUCUCAGUCCGGAUUGAAGUCUGCAACUCGACUUCAUGAAGGCGGAAUCGCUAGUAACCGCGAAUCAGCAGGUCGCGGCGAAUACGUUCCCGGGCCUU